rnacentral:rRNA from 1 species
AGGGUUUGAUUCUGGCUCAGGAUGAACGCUGGCGGCGUGCCUAACACAUGCAAGUCGAACGGACUUUUCAUGAAGCCUAGCGAUUGAAAAGUUAGUGGCGGACGGGUGAGUAACGCGUGGGUAACCUGCCUUGUACUGGGGGACAACAGUUGGAAACGACUGCUAAUACCGCAUAAGCGCACAGCUUCGCAUGAAGCAGUGUGAAAAACUCCGGUGGUACAAGAUGGACCCGCGUCUGAUUAGCUGGUUGGUGAGGUAACGGCCCACCAAGGCGACGAUCAGUAGCCGGCCUGAGAGGGUGAACGGCCACAUUGGGACUGAGACACGGCCCAA